rnacentral:miRNA from 1 species
UGGGUUGGCAAAAAAGUUCAUUUGGGUUUUUCUGUAACAGCGAAUGGAAAAACCCAGAUGAACUUUUUGGCCAAUCCAA